rnacentral:rRNA from 1 species
UACGGAGGAUGCAAGCGUUAUCCGGAUUCAUUGGGUUUAAAGGGUGCGUAGGCGGAAUAAUAAGUCAACGGUGAAAGCUUACGGCUUAACUGUAGAAGUGCCGUUGAUACUGUUAUUCUUGAGUAAAGUUGAGGUGGCUGGAAUGUGUAAUGUAGCGGUGAAAUGCUUAGAUAUUACACAGAACACCGAUUGCGAAGGCAAGUCACUAAGCUUUUACUGACGCUGAGGCACGAAAGCGUGGGGAGCAAAC